rnacentral:rRNA from 2 species
UAAUACGUAGGGGGCAAGCGUUAUCCGGAAUCACUGGGCGUAAAGGGUGCGUAGGCGGUCUUACAAGUCAGGGGUGAAAGGCUACGGCUCAACCGUAGUAAGCCUUUGAAACUGUAGGACUUGAGUGCAGGAGAGGAAAGUGGAAUUCCUAGUGUAGCGGUGAAAUGCGUAGAUAUUAGGAGGAACACCAGUGGCGAAGGCGACUUUCUGGACUGUAACUGACGCUGAGGCACGAAAGUGUGGGGAGCAAACAGGAUUAGAUACCCUGGUAGUCCACACCGUAAACGAUGAGUGCUAGGUGUUGGGGGUCGAACCUCAGUGCCGCAGCUAACGCAUUAAGCACUCCGCCUGGGGAGUACGCUCGCAAGAGUG